AUAUUCUCUCUGUUUUGUUCAAUUAUUACGAAUAAAUUUCUGUUCUGAUAGGUUCUUUCUGAGGCGAUCUGAAGAAGAUUCCAUUAACUUUCCUGGAGGUAGCCAUACUUUUAUUUCACUAUAGACCUUCAUUCAUGAUCAGUAUAUAGAAGCAGCAAGAGCCUCACAAAUAAAUCUCUUUCUUGUCUGAUCUCUAUCAUAAACUAGAUUCGUGAUCGUGUCUCUUUCACCAACCAAGCAAUUCUCUGAAAGACGACUUAACGUUCCAACAGUCCAAUAUCUUUCAAGCGGAGACGGAGGGAAGAUUCCAUGGAUCUGGUGAACGAGCCUAUGAGCCACGAGGGGUUAAACAAGCAUGUCUUACACAAGCAAGGCAACAAAACAGCAGCACUAACAAGAAAGAAACUCAAAUGAACACAGCACACAGUCAAGGUAGAGGAGGGAAGAAGUGGCUUGAAAACUCAAGAGCUCGGCACCUUGUCCUGUCUGCACCCACGCUUAUAUAUAGGUCAAAACCAUAGAUAUGAACGUUGGGAUCAUAAUCACUGGAUUAAACACCAUUAAGCCUUGGUUAUAGAAACA